rnacentral:rRNA from 1 species
UACGAGGGGGGCAAGCGUUGUUCGGAAUUAUUGGGCGUAAAGGGUGCGUAGGCGGUUUGACAAGUCUGAUGUGAAAUCUAUGGGCUCAACCCAUAGUCUGCAUCGGAAACUGUCGGGCUUGAGUAUGGGAGAGGGUAGUGGAAUUCCCGGUGUAGCAGUGAAAUGCGUAGAGAUCGGGAGGAACACCAGUGGCGAAGGCGGCUACCUGGACCAGCACUGACACUGAGGCACGAAAGCGUGGGGAGCAAACAGG